rnacentral:rRNA from 1 species
UAGCGUAGGUGGCAAGCGUUGUCCGGAAUUAUUGGGCGUAAAGCGCGCGCAGGCGGUCCCUUAAGUCUGAUGUGAAAGUCCACGGCUCAACCGUGGAGGGUCAUUGGAAACUGGGGGACUUGAGUACAGAAGAGGAAAGCGGAAUUCCACGUGUAGCGGUGAAAUGCGUUAGAGAUGUGGAGGAACACCAGUGGCGAAGGCGGCGUUUCUGGUCGUGUAACUGACGCUGAGGCGCGAAAGCGUGGGGAGCAAACAGG